rnacentral:rRNA from 1 species
GACGGAGGGUGCUAGCGUUGUUCGGAAUGACUGGGCGUAAAGGGCGCGUAGGCGGCCGCUUGCGUCGGAUGUGAAAGCCCGGGGCUCAACCCCGGAACGGCAUCCGAUACGGGGCGGCUCGAGACCGAGAGAGGUGAGUGGAAUACCCAGUGUAGAGGUGAAAUUCGUAGAUAUUGGGUGGAACACCGGUGGCGAAAGCGGCUCACUGGCUCGGCAUUGACGCUGAGGAGCGAAAGCCAGGGGAGCAAGCGGG